rnacentral:rRNA from 1 species
GUUUACUGCCAUGCUACCCUGAACAAGCCCGAUCCCAUCUGAUCUUGGAAGCUAAGCACAGUUUGGCCUGGUUUAGUGCUUAGAUGGCAGGCCACCUAGGAAGACCAGGUGCUGUAGGCG